CCUACGGGAGGCAGCAGUGAGGAAUAUUGGUCAAUGGGCGUAAGCCUGAACCAGCCAAGUCGCGUGAGGGAUGAAGGUUCUAUGGAUCGUAAACCUCGUUUAUAAGGGAAUAAAGUGUGGGACGUGGCCGAUUUUGUAUGUACCGUGGAAGAAGGAGCGGCUAACGCCGUGCCAGCAGCCGCGGUAAUACGGAGGAUCCGAGCGUUAGCCGGAUUUAGUGGGUUUAAAGGGUGCGUAGGCGGCCUUUGAAGUCAGCGGUGAAAGUCUAUGGCUCAACCAUAGAAUUGCCUUUGAAACUGGGGGGCUUGAUUAUGUUUGAGGCAGGCGGACUGCGUGGUGUAGCGGUGAAAUGCUUAGAUAUCACGCAGAACCCCGAUUGCGAAGGCGGCCUGCCAAGCCAUGACUGACGCUGAUGCACGAAAGCGUGGGGAUCAAACAGGAUUAGAUACCCCUGUAGUC
rnacentral:rRNA from 1 species